rnacentral:rRNA from 1 species
GAUGAACGCUGGCGGCGUGCCUAAUACAUGCAAGUCGAGCGAACGGACGAGAAGCUUGCUUUUCUGACGUUAGCGGCGGACAGGUGAGUAACACGUGGAUAACCUACCUAUAAGACUGGGAUAACUUCGGGAAACCGGAGCUAAUACCGGAUAAUAUUUUGAACCGCAUGGUUCAAUAGUGAAAGACGGUUUUGCUGUCACUUAUAGAUGGAUCCGCGCUGCAUUAGCUAGUUGGUAAGGUAACGGCUUACCAAGGCAACGAUGCAUAGCCGACCUGAGAGGGUGAUCGGCCACACUGGAACUGAGACACGGUCCAGACUCCUACGGGAGGCAGCAGUAGGGAAUCUUCCGCAAUGGGCGAAAGCCUGACGGAGCAACGCCGCGUGAGUGAUGAAGGUCUUCGGAUCGUAAAACUCUGUUAUUAGGGAAGAACAUAUGUGUAAGUAACUAUGCACAUCUUGACGGUACCUAAUCAGAAAGCCACGGCUAACUACGUG